UGUGUAUUUGUUUGUUUUUGGUUUCAAUCCAGGAAGAAGAAAGCUCUGAGCUCCACCACUGAACCACAUGAACCCAUAGAGCCUGUGGAGUUAGACCUUUGUCAUGAUUAUGAGGACAUCUCAGCCAUCGCAGCACAGACAGAAGACGAAGAGGAGCAGGAAGACACGGUGUGAAGAUGCAGUCAAACCAGAGGGAGACUCACCUGGAUGGAAACAGAAAGAAGUACACUGAAGUGGACAUAUUGACCUUUAAUACCAAAAGUUAUAUUCUGAAGUAUUUACAUCUGCUUACUGUCAAUUAAAUAAUGAAUUUCAAAUUCAUUAAUUAAUUACCAUUUACCUUAUUUAUUUUAGCAUGUUUUUAUUGUAUUGUCUCUUAGCUCUUAAAUCACUCUUUUAAUUGUAUUUAAAUGUCCUUUCAUAACGUGUGUCUUUUGCACUUAGUGAAGUUUUAUGUAAAUAACUUUGAAUUGCCUUGUAGCAGAAAUGUGUUAUAUAGAUAAACUCGCUUGACAUGUCAGUUUUCAGAAGCAGCAGCAUGUAGCAGAAGAUUCAUAAUGCAUGCUUUAUUUGUACCUGUGCAGGUACAUUACAUAUGUACAGGAUUUAACUUGAAUGUAAUAAAUUGCUUUUAAGAAAUACUGAUUUCCAUCACAUCACGCCUGUUUGGGUAUAACAAUCCCAAAAAGUGUGUUUAACGAAAAACACAAAAGUUACCAUUAGUUUAUGCCACAUUUGCAUUUUUAAACAAAACCUUUCAGAAAGUUUGGAAUACAAAUAAUAAUUAUCUUAAUGCAAGUUAUCAACGGGGGAAUUUUCAUGCUGAUAUAUAUUCAUUGAUUAAUAAAUAAAACUGAAUUAAUUAUACACAGAGUUGGUGAUUGGAAAGACAAACCAAGAAAGUUUUGUUUCUGAUGAGUUUGACUGAAGCAUGUUUUACAAUGAGCAUCGAGGUAAAGUCACUGUUUCUGUCAAUGGAGUCUGGUAGCUUUGAGGAGAGAAUAUUAGUUGUAUACUUUGUAUC